UUAGGUUAUGGGGCUAUGGUAAGGUUUAAGGUUUUUGGCGUUAGGGUUAAAAUCACUGUCCAAAACCUUUGUAGGAACUCUUUUUCAACCUUUUGGAGUUAGUUAGACAAAAAAAAAAAUUAAAAAUGAAAAAAAAUAUAUUUGGGGUUUACGGGCUUCCUGAAUGUAAUACCCGGGUAUUAGAUUUUAAGGCCAGGGUAAGGUUUAAGUUUUUUGGCGUUAGGGUUAAAAUCACUGUCCAAAACCUUUGUAGGAACUCUUUUCCAACCUUUUGGAGUUAGUUAGACCAAAAAAUAUGAAAAAAGAAAAAAAUAUUAUUGGGGGUUUUCGGGCUCCCUGAAAGUAAUACCCGUGUAUUAGGUUUUGGGACUAGGGAAAGGUUUAAGGGUUUUGGCGUUAGGGUUAAAAUCACUGUCCAAAACCUUUGUAGGAACUCUUUUCCAACCUUUUGGAGUUAGUUAGACCAAAAAAAAAAAGAAAAAUGAAAAAAAAAAUAUUUGGGGUGUUCAGGCUUCCUAAAAGUAAUACCCGGGUAUGAGGUUAUGGGGCUAUGGUAAGGUUUAAGGUUUUUGGCGUUAGGUUUAAAAUCACUGUCCAAAACCUUUGUAGGAACUCUUUAACAACCUUUUGGAUUUAGUUAGACCAAAAAAAAAAAAAAAAAAAAAAAUCUAUUUGGGGUGUUCAGGCUUCCUAAAAGUAAUACCCGGGUAUUAGGUUAUGGGGCUAUGGUAAGGUUUAAGGUUUUUGGCGUUAGGGUUAAAAUCACUGUCCAAAACCUUUGUAGGAACUCUUUUUCAACCUUUUGGAGUUAGUUAGACAAAAAAAAAAAAUUAAAAAUGAAAAAAUAUAUAUUUGGGGUGUUCAGGCUUCCUGAAGGUAAUACCCGGGUAUUAGAUUUUAAGGCCAGGGAAAGGUUUAAGUUUUUUGGCGUUAGGGUUAAAAUCACUGUCCAAAACCUUUGUAGGAACUCUUUUCCAACCUUUUGGAGUUAGUUAGACCAAAAAAUAUGAAAAAAGAAAAAAAUAUUAUUGGGGGUUUUCGGGCUCCGUGAAGGUAAUACCCAGGUAUUAGGUUUUGGGACUGGGGAAAGGUUUAAGGUUUUUGGCGUUAGGGUUAAAAUCACUGUCCAAAACCUUUGUAGGAACACUUUUCCAACCUUUUGGAGUUAGUUUGACCAAAAAAAAAAGAAAAAUGAAAAAAAAAUAUUUGGGGAGUUCAGGCUUCCUAAAAGUAAUACCCAGGUAUUAGGUUUUGUGGCUAUGGUAAGGUUUAAGUUUUUUGGCGUUAGGGUUAAAAUCACUGUCCAAAACCUUUGUAGGAACUCUUUUACAACCUUUUGGAGUUAGUUAGACCAAAAAAAAAUGAAAAAUUAAAAAACAAUAUUUGGGGUUUUCGGGGUUCCUGAAUGUAAUACCCGGGUAUUAGAUUUUGAGGCUAGGGUAAGGUUUAAGUUUUUUGGAAUUAGGGUUAAAAUCACUGUCCAAAACCUUUGUAGGAACUCUUUUCCAAACUUUUGGAGUUGGUUACACCAACAAAAAUGUAAAAUGAAGAAAAAAAUAUUUGGGGUGUUCAGGCUUCCUGAAGGUAAUACCCGGGUAUUAGAUUUCAAGGCUAGGGUAAGGUUUAAGGUUUUUGGCGUUAGGGUUAAAAUCACUGUCCAAAACCUUUGUAGGAACUCUUUCCCAACCUUUUGGAGUUAGUUAGACCAAAAAAUAUGAAAAAAGAAAAAAAUAUUAUUGGGGGUUUUCGGGCUCCCUGAAAGUAAUACCCGUGUAUUAGGUUUUGGGACUAGGGAAAGGUUUAAGGGUUUUGGCGUUAGGGUUAAAAUCACUGUCCAAAACCUUUGUAGGAACUCUUUUCCAACCUUUUGGAGUUAGUCAGACCAAAAAAAAAAGAAAAAUGAAAAAAAAAUAUUUGGGGUGUUCAGGCUUCCUAAAAGUAAUACCCGGGUAUUAGGUUAUGGGGCUAUGGUAAGGUUUAACGUUUUGGCGUUAGGUUUAAAAUCACUGUCCAAAACCUUUGUAGGAACUCUUUUCCAACCUUUUGGAUUUAGUUAGACCAAAAAAUAAAGAAAAAUGAAAAAAAAAUAUAUGGGGUGUUCAGGCUUCCUAAAAGUAAUACCUGGGUAUUAGGUUAUGGGGCUAUGGUAAGGUUUAAGGUUUUUGGCGUUAGGGUUAAAAUCACUGUCCAAAACCUUUGUAGGAACUCUUUAACAACCUUUUGGAGUUAGUUAGACCAAAAAAAAAUGAAAAAUUAAAAAAAAUAUAUUUGGGGUGUUCAGGCUUCCUAAAAGUAAUACCCGGGUAUUAGGUUAUGGGGCUAUGGUAAGGUUUAAGGUUUUUGGCGUUAGGGUUAAAAUCACUGUCCAAAACCUUUGUAGGAACUCUUUUUCAACCUUUUGGAGUUAGUUAGACCAAAAAAAAUUAAAAAUGAAAAAAAAUAUAUUUGGGGUUUACGGGCUUCCUGAAUGUAAUACCCGGGUAUUAGAUUUUAAGGCCAGGGAAAGGUUUAAGUUUUUUGGCGUUAGGGUUAAAAUCACUGUCCAAAACCUUUGUAGGAACUCUUUUCCAACCUUUUGGAGUUAGUUAGACCAAAAAAUAUGAAAAAAGAAAAAAAUAUUAUUGGGGGUUUUCGGGCUCCCUGAAAGUAAUACCCGUGUAUUAGGUUUUGGGACUAGGGAAAGGUUUAAGGUUUUUGGCGUUAGGGUUAAAAUCACUGUCCAAAACCUUUGUAGGAACUCUUUUCCAACCUUUUGGAGUUAGUUAGACCAAAAAAAAAAGAAAAAUGAAAAAAAAAAUAUUUGGGGUGUUCAGGCUUCCUAAAAGUAAUACCCGGGUAUUAGGUUAUGGGGCUAUGGUAAGGUUUAAGGUUUUUGGCGUUAGGUUUAAAAUCACUGUCCAAAACCUUUGUAGGAACUCUUUUCCAACCUUUUGGAUUUAGUUAGACCAAAAAAAAAUGAAAAAUUAAAAAAAAUCUAUUUGGGGUGUUCAGGCUUCCUAAAAGUAAUACCCGGGUAUUAGGUUAUGGGGCUAUGGUAAGGUUUAAGGUUUUUGGCGUUAGGGUUAAAAUCACUGUCCAAAACCUUUGUAGGAACUCUUUUCCAACCUUUUGGAGUUAGUUAGACCAAAAAAAAAAAAAGAAAAAUGAAAAAAAAUAUAUUUGGGGUGUUCAGGCUUCCUAAAAGUAAUACCCGGGUAUUAGGUUUUGGGGCUAGGGUAAGGUUUAAGGUUUUUGGCGUUAGGGUUAAAAUCACUGUCCAAAACCUUUGUAGGAACUCUUUUCCAACCUUUUGGAGUUAGUUAGACCAAAAAAAAAUGAAAAAUGAAAAAAAAAUAUUUGGGGUUUAGGGCUUCCUGAAGUAAUACCCGGGUAUUAGGUUUUGGGGCUAGGGUAAGGUUUAAGUUUUUUGGCGUUAGGGUUAAAAUCACUGUCCAAAACCUUUGUAGGAACUCUUUUCCAACCUUUUGGAGUUAGUUAGACCAAAAAAAAAAAGAAAAAUGAAAAAAAAAUAUUUUGGGGUGUUCAGGCUUCCUAAAAGUAAUACCCGGGUAUUAGGUUAUGGGGCUAUGGUAAGGUUUAAGGUUUUUGGCAUUAGGGUUAAAAUCACUGUCCAAAACCUUUGUAGGAACUCUUUUCCAACCUUUUGGAGUUAGUUAGACCAAAAAAAAAAGAAAAAUGAAAAAAAUAUAUUUGGGGUGUUCAGGCUUCCUAAAAGUAAUACCCGGGUAUUAGGUUAUGGGGCUAUGGUAAGGUUUAAGGUUUUUGGCGUUAGGGUUAAAAUCACUGUCCAAAACCUUUGUAGGAACUCUUUUCCAACCUUUUGGAGUUAGUUAGACCAAAAAAAAAUGAAAAAUUAAAAAACAAUAUUUGGGGUUUUCGGGGUUCCUGAAUGUAAUACCCGGGUAUUAGAUUUUGAGGCUAGGGUAAGGUUUAAGUUUUUUGGCAUUAGGGUUAAAAUCACUGUCCAAAACCUUUGUAGGAACUCUUUUCCAACCUUUUGGAGUUGGUUACACCAACAAAAAUGUAAAAUGAAAAAAAAAUAUUUGGGGUUUACGGGCUUCCUGAAUGUAAUACCCAGGUAUUAGAUUUUAAGGCUAGGGUAAGGUUUAAGGUUUUUGGCGUUAGGGUUAAAAUCACUGUCCAAAACCUUUGUAGGAACUCUUUUCCAACCUUUUGGAGUUAGUUAGACCAAAAAAUAUGAAAAAAGAAAAAAAUAUUAUUGGGGGUUUUCGGGCUUCCUGAAAGUAAUACCCGUGUAUUAGGUUUUGGGACUAGGGUAAGGUUUAAGGUUUUGGCGUUAGGGUUAAAAUCACUGUCCAAAACCUUUGUAGGAACUCUUUUCCAACCUUUUGGAGUUAGUUAGACCAAAAAAAAAAAAAAAUGAAAAAAAAAAUUUUGGGGUGUUCAGGCUUCCUAAAAGUAAUACCCGGGUAUUAGGUUAUGGGGCUAUGGUAAGGUUUAAGUUUUUUGGCGUUAGGGUUAAAAUCACUGUCCAAAACCUUUGUAGGAACUCUUUUCCAACCUUUUGGAGUUAGUUAGACCAAAAAAAAAUGAAAAAUGAAAAAAAAUAUAUUUGGGGUGUUCAGGCUUCCUGAAGGUAAUACCCGGGUAUUAGAUUUUAAGGCUAGGGUAAGGUUUAAGGUUUUUGGCGUUAGGGUUAAAAUCACUGUCCAAAACCUUUGUAGGAACUCUUUUCCAACCUUUUGGAGUUAGUUAGACCAAAAAAAUGAAAAAUGAAAAAAAAUUAUUUGGGGUUUCGGGCUUCCUGAAAGUAAUACCCGUGUAUUAGGUUUUGGGGCUAGGGAAAGGUUUAAGGGUUUUGGCGUUAGGGUUAAAAUCACUGUCCAAAACCUUUGUAGGAACUCUUUUCCAACCUUUUGGAGUUAGUUAGACCAAAAAAAAAAGAAAAAUGAAAAAAAAAUAUUUGGGGUGUUCAGGCUUCCUAAAAGUAAUACCCGGGUAUUAGGUUAUGGGGCUAUGGUAAGGUUUAACGUUUUGGCGUUAGGUUUAAAAUCACUGUCCAAA